AUUUUUUCUCAACUUCUCUCUCUAGACAAGCUUGGUAACUAUUAAUAGCAUUAUUUAAUUUCAUCUUUUUUCCUGUGUUUUUAAGUUAUAUUAUGUCAUUCUUCCUAGAGUGGCUCACUUUACUCAGCAUCAGUUCAUCUUAAUAACUCCCUUUUUUCUCCAAAGUCUUCACAUUUAUAAUUUCAUAUAGAACCAUAGUAUUCCAUUAGAUUAAUAUGUCACAAUGCCCUAUUUGACAGGUAUCUACUUUGUCACCAGUUCUUUGCUAUCUCAAAAAGUGGGUUGAACUUUAGCUAUAGUAUAUCAAAUGGAUAAUUCCUUUUUCUGAGGUUUUUGAGUUGUAAGGGAGGAAUAAAACCUACUCCACUAUUUUACCAUUCAUAGGAUAUUGAUAGAGUCUUGAGGACGCAGAAUCAAAUGGUAAAGAAACUAAGACCCAGAGACAUGUUUUCCAAAGACAUACAGUGAGCAAGGACUAGAAGAAAGCAGGUCUCUUGAAUGUUCAGUGCUAGCACACAGUAUUGCCACUACUUCACUGAACAUCUCUUAUGUGGAAGAAGUACAAGAUCAUGAUGAUUGCAUGGUACUCCUUCACUUUGUGACCUUCGUUAUGACCUUAUGGUACUUUGUGGGCUGAAGAAGAAGGCAGUCAAACCCUCUGCCCAUUCUUGUUGAAACAAGGCAGGCCAUGGAGCAGGAAA
rnacentral:lncRNA from 1 species